rnacentral:rRNA from 1 species
GACGAACGCUGGCGGCGUGCCUAAUACAUGCAAGUCGAACGAGAGCGCCCGGUGCUUGCACUGGUCAAUCUAGUGGCGAACGGGUGAGUAACACGUGGGUAACCUGCCCAUCAGAGGGGGAUAACAUCCGGAAACGGAUGCUAAAACCGCAUAGGUCUUCGAGCCGCAUGGCUUGAAGAGGAAAAGAGGCGCAAGCUUCUGCUGAUGGAUGGACCCGCGGUGCAUUAGCUAUUUGGUGAGGUAACGGCUCACCAAGGCCGUGAUGCAUAGCCGACCUGAGAGAGUGAUCGGCCACAUUGGGACUUAGACACGGACCAAACUCCUACGGGAGGCAGCAGUAGGGAAUCUUCCGCAAUGGACGCAAGUCUGACGGAGCAACGCCGCGUGAGUGAAGAAGGUGUUCGGAUCGUAAAACUCUGUUGUUAGAGAAGAACAAGUGCUAGAGUAACUGUUAGCGCCUUGACGGUAUCUAACCAGAAAGCCACGGCUAACUACGUG